CCGCCACCUUGUGGCAGGGGCCGGCAGGGACGCGCUGGGACGCAUCCUCUUCACCGACCCACACAAAUACAAGGACGCCAUAUACAAGAGGUGGACACAGCGGGAAAAGAAGAAAAAAGAACUUCAACAUUAGCGGAACAAAGAACGAGAAGAAGUAAGGAGCUUCCGUUGCAACAUCUACAUCUACAUCUACCACUAAUGGCCACCGGGAUACGUGUCUUAUUUAAUGAUUUCCGAGGCCCCUGGCGGUCAUGGAGGGCGGUGAGCAGUGCCUGGGGUCAUGUUGCUUGUGUGGCCGGUGUGAAUGUGACCGGGGGCUUGGCAGGGGUGAUGGGAGGCUUGGCAAGGGUGGCAGGGGGGCGAGGUACAGCCAAUACCCCCCGGCGUACAUGCCCUCAAAACUGCAGGAGAUGGAGGACAGCGGGGAGAUGAAGGAAUUUGAGUAGCGGGCGGUCCGAGUGGCCCACAGCACCCACACCACCUCCGUACUCCACCACCCGCUUGUCAGGAAAUUCACCAACCACAUCAUGAAAACAGGAAACAAACCUCUGGCCAGGGAACUUGUCGAGAAGGUCAAAGGUCACAACUAGCCAGCCGGGAGUGGGUCAGGAUGGCACGGCUGGCUGUGGUGGUGGUGGUGGUGGUAUUGGUGUUGGCGGCAGCAGCGGCGGGAAGGCCAGACUACACGCUGUCCCAAAAAUUUAUUGAAAUGUUGCAGAGUGAACAGUCCGCUUGGAAGAUUGUGUUAAGAUAUGGAGAAACAGACCAAAGAAACAGGAGGAGGAGGAGGAGGAAAGAGAUAUG